CACACGGACUGACUCCCACAAGCUGUCCCGCUUCAGGUGUCCUGGCUCGGGCUUUCAGGGAAGGGAGAGCCCCUAACGUCGUGCCACCUCCCAAAACUUCUCCCCCUGCCGUUGGGCUAUGGUAAAGGGGAAAGGAUGCAGGAUCUUUAGAGAGGUUCCUGGUUCCCUUCACGCCCCCACCCCCAACCUCAGCUCUGUCUGGGUGGAACGAAUUUCUGCUAAUGAACUAAACAAACAGGUCCCUUAAUCUUAUCAUGGAGCUGACCCAGAGACUGACACAGAUAUCCAAAGUAUCAUAAUUGGCAGGUAAGAGCUGGAACUAACUGCCAUUUGUCUGGAGUCAGAAGUUGGUUCCCAAGUGCAUUUGGGAAUAAAGCUCUUGGGGGGAAACUGCCGUAUAGUGUAAUUGGCCAGGAAGCUUGGCCCUUGGCCUCCUGUUGGCAUUUCCAGAGAUAAAAGGAAAUCUGCCUUGGGGAAGAAAACGCUAAACUCCGCUUAGUCCCAUUUUAAAUUUAAAAGAUUCGCAUAAUUUUUUUCAUUUUCUCAUGAAAAUGCUAUUUUUCAACAAAUGCUAUUUUAUUAGAAAAUAUUGACUUCUAAAAUUGAAAAUUUUCCAAGCAGAAAUUGCUUCGUCUGUAGAUGAAAUGAGAUGCUCCUUUCCGUAAUAUACUUUGAACCAUUCCAAAAAUUCCACUUUAAUACAAUCACAUAUAUUUGUACUGGUGAUAGAUUCACAAGGAUUAUCUCAAAAAAUGUUUUAAAGUAUAAUAUAAAUGGCAGUAGUCCUAGAGACAUAUAAACAAGUCUUAAAGCAAUGAAGAACACAACCAGUGAGAUUAUGCCUGGUUUUAUACAUUCUUCUAAAGUGCUGGGAAGUGUCCAAUUACCUUGAAUGACAGUAUUUGUUCGGGAAAUAAUUUGUAGGAUAAACAAAUCACCAGUGGAAAAGUUGAAGAAAAUUUUAAGCCAUUUAUUCAGAUAGGUAUUAAGAGUUAAGCAAAAAUAAAUAUAAUUUACUGUGAAAAUUGAAUAAAAUUCUAAAUUAGGGCCCAAAUCAUUCUUUUGCUUUAUGCUGUACUUGAGAAAUGUGUGCAAGCCGCAUUAAGCACUCACUUAUCUAGGCAGAGACUAUGUUUUCCACUUAUUUUAUAGCCCAGUGGUGCUCACAACAGCACUAGGCAACUAUGGACACUCUAUGAAUACUGGUAGUUUGAAAUUUUGAUUUACAGGUCAGAAUUAAAACUACAUCCUGGUGACUUUAUAGCUGAGGCAAAGUGGAGCUCAAGUGUUACCUUCCCAGUAAGUAAAUCAUGUAAGUCAAGGACAACUACUGGUCAGAUUUUACAAUAUUUUUAUGAAUAUUUAAAAGUUUGGAGUUUUUCAUUGAUAAUUUGUUUAAUGUGUUUCUCAGUAUUAAAUACACAUUUUGCUAAAAUUAACAUGGUGCCAAGAAAUGAAUAUUUCGAAAAGGGUCCUCUCUUCUAGAAUGAAGCAUCAUGCUGGUGACUAAUUUAACUAACAUCGUCCAGGAAAUUGCUAUUGUCCAGGAAGAAAAGAUUUAAGCUGAGUGUCGGCCACUGGGCUUCUGACACCAUCCUGCACAAGAAAUUGGUAAGUUCUGCUGUGUUAUUUCCUAGCUUGGUGGUCUCAGUUGCAUCCCAGCUAACUUACAGCCUAAAGUGACAGGCCCACCUCCCAUUUAUUAAUUCCUUGGUCUUCAAAAUAUAUCAUCUCAUGUUUCCUCAGUUAUUUAUUGAACAACCACUACGUGUCCGUGUUGGAAUAUAUGAAUGAAAAAUCAAAUACAAUUUUUUUUUACUUUGUGGAGCUUACAUUCUGGAGAAGAAGACAGAAGUUAGAAAAUACUACGUAAGUAAAUUAUAAUGUCUAUUAGAAGGUAGUCAGUGCAACAGAGAAAAAUAAAGCAGGGUGGGCUGGGUGGUCCACAAGCUUAAAUACAAGGGUGCUCAGUAAAAAUAUCACUGAGAAUGCUAACCCUGAAUAAAUGAUUAAAGGAGUUGAGGGAGCAGGCAAGCCAUGCAAAUAUCUGGGAAGAUGGUCCCAGGAAGUGGAAAAGCAGGUGUAAGUGGCCCUUAAAUAUGAUUGCACCUGGCAAGGUCUGGGAACAUUAAUGAAGCCUUGGGAAUGGGACACAGUGAAGGGAGAGGGUUAAUGAGGGUAGGCUUAGAAGACAGAUCAUUGGGUGGGGCCAAGUAAAGGAUCUGGGAUUUUACUCCAAAUGACAGCACAGGACACAAGACACAGAGGGAGUGACAUGAUCUUCUGACUUUUUAAUGGAUCACUCUGGCUGCCAUGUUGAAAAUUAUAGAAGCAGAGGAGGAAGCAGGGAGAUCUGUUAUUAGGCUAUUGCAAGAAUCUAGGUAAGAGAUGAUGGCUUGGACAGGGUGAUAGCAAGAAAGAUAAUGAGAAUUCGUAGCAAUUUUGAAUUGCUUUGAAUUUAGAGCCAACAAUGAGUGGCUUGAAAGAAAAGAGGGAGUCAAGAUUAACUCCAAGCAUUUGGUCCUAGCAACCAGAAGGAUGAAGUUGCUAUUAAUUGAAAUGAGAGAGAGUAUGGGUGGAGCAAAUUUUGGUGGAAGAAUCAAGUUCAGGCUUAAAUGGGUUAAGACUGGAAUGCCUAUUAAGUUAAAUUUUAAAAAUAAUUUAUUUAAAGCUCUUAGAAUAGUUCCUGGCUUUUCGUAAGUGCCAUACAAAUAUUUGUGGUGGUGGUGAUUAUCAUUAUUAAUGUUUGCCAACCAAAAUGAGAUGUUGAAUAGACAAUCAACUACCAUGAUUGUGGUGGUAGUUGCAAAACUAUAUUUUGUUAUAAUCCAUUUGUACACUCAAAAAUUGGUGAAUUUUAUUGUACGUAAACAAAACCUUAAAAAACUUUUAAAAAACAAAGAACUCAGUCUAAUAUUUUAAUAGGAGAGUAUGGAAAUUUCCCAUCUGAGAAUAAACAGCUUCAGAAGUGUCACCAUUUUGUAUACCCAUUGAAAUAACUGACCGAAAUAAAGAUCACCAAUAGAUACUAAAGCCAUUAAGUAAAUGUUUCAUGCAGAAUAUUGAGGUAGGUGAAUAGGGUCUGGAGGCAGGGAACCUAAGGCCAAUUCACGCUGACUUCCUAAAG